UCUAAAAUGGCAGAACUAUAUCCAAUGAACAUAAAAUUCAUUUAUAAAGAAUAAUCUUAUAUUAGAA
rnacentral:tRNA from 1 species